rnacentral:rRNA from 1 species
GACGAACGCUGGCGGCGUGCUUAACACAUGCAAGUCGAGCGGCUCGGCGAACGGGUGCGUAACGCGUGAGUAACUGCCCCCCUCUCUGGGAUAACUUUUGGACACGGCUGCUAAUACCGGAUAGUGGGGGAUGACUCGCGUCCUAUCAGCUUGUUGGUGGGGUAUUGGCCUACCAAGGCGACGACGGGUAGCCGGCCUGGGAGGGCGACCGGCCACAUUGGGCUGAGAUACGGCCCAAACGGCUACGGGAGGCAGCAGUGGGGAGUAUUGCACAAUGGGGGAAACCCUGAGGCAGCAACGCGCGUGCGGGAUGACGGCCUGCGGGGUGUAAACCGCUUUCAGCCAUGACGCGGUAGUGGCAGAAGAAGCACCGGCUAACUACGUGCCAGCAGCCGCGGUAAUAC